ACAAUGAAGAGUUUGAUCCUGGCUCAGGAUGAACGCUAGCUACAGGCUUAACACAUGCAAGUCGAGGGGCAGCAUUUCAGUUUGCUUGCAAACUGGAGAUGGCGACCGGCGCACGGGUGAGUAACACGUAUCCAACCUGCCGAUAACUCGGGGAUAGCCUUUCGAAAGAAAGAUUAAUACCCGAUGGUAUAAUCAGACCGCAUGGUUUGAUUAUUAAAGAAUUUCGGUUAUCGAUGGGGAUGCGUUCCAUUAGGCAGUUGGUGAGGUAACGGCUCACCAAACCUUCGAUGGAUAGGGGUUCUGAGAGGAAGGUCCCCCACAUUGGAACUGAGACACGGUCCAAACUCCUACGGGAGGCAGCAGUGAGGAAUAUUGGUCAAUGGGCGCAGGCCUGAACCAGCCAAGUAGCGUGAAGGAUGACUGCCCUAUGGGUUGUAAACUUCUUUUAUAUGGGAAUAAAGUUUUCCACGUGUGGAAUUUUGUAUGUACCAUAUGAAUAAGGAUCGGCUAACUCCGUGCCAGCAGCCGCGGUAAUACGGAGGAUCCGAGCGUUAUCCGGAUUUAUUGGGUUUAAAGGGAGCGUAGGUGGACAGUUAAGUCAGUUGUGAAAGUUUGCGGCUCAACCGUAAAAUUGCAGUUGAUACUGGCUGUCUUGAGUACAGUAGAGGUGGGCGGAAUUCGUGGUGUAGCGGUGAAAUGCUUAGAUAUCACGAAGAACUCCGAUUGCGAAGGCAGCUCACUGGACUGCAACUGACACUGAUGCUCGAAAGUGUGGGUAUCAAACAGGAUUAGAUACCCUGGUAGUCCACACAGUAAACGAUGAAUACUCGCUGUUUGCGAUAUACAGUAAGCGGCCAAGCGAAAGCAUUAAGUAUUCCACCUGGGGAGUACGCCGGCAACGGUGAAACUCAAAGGAAUUGACGGGGGCCCGCACAAGCGGAGGAACAUGUGGUUUAAUUCGAUGAUACGCGAGGAACCUUACCCGGGCUUAAAUUGCAUUUGAAUAUAUUGGAAACAGUAUAGCCGUAAGGCAAAUGUGAAGGUGCUGCAUGGUUGUCGUCAGCUCGUGCCGUGAGGUGUCGGCUUAAGUGCCAUAACGAGCGCAACCCUUAUCUUUAGUUACUAACAGGUCAUGCUGAGGACUCUAGAGAGACUGCCGUCGUAAGAUGUGAGGAAGGUGGGGAUGACGUCAAAUCAGCACGGCCCUUACGUCCGGGGCUACACACGUGUUACAAUGGGGGGUACAGAAGGCAGCUACCUGGUGACAGGAUGCUAAUCCCAAAAGCCUCUCUCAGUUCGGAUCGAAGUCUGCAACCCGACUUCGUGAAGCUGGAUUCGCUAGUAAUCGCGCAUCAGCCAUGGCGCGGUGAAUACGUUCCCGGGCCUUGUACACACCGCCCGUCAAGCCAUGAAAGCCGGGGGUACCUGAAGUACGUAACCGCAAGGAGCGUCCUAGGGUAAAACUGGUAAUUGGGGCUAAGUCGUAACAAGGUAGCCGUACCGGAAGGUGCGGCUGGAACACCUCCUUU
rfam:Bacteroides thetaiotaomicron VPI-5482, complete genome.